rnacentral:rRNA from 1 species
GGGUUGUGAGGUUAAGCGACUAAGCGUACACGGUGGAUGCCCUGGCAGUCAGAGGCGAUGAAGGACGUGCUAAUCUGCGAUAAGCGUCGGUAAGGUGAUAUGAACCGUUAUAACCGGCGAUUUCCGAAUGGGGAAACCCAGUGUGAUUCGUCACACUAUCAUUAACUGAAUCCAUAGGUUAAUGAGGCGAACCGGGGGAACUGAAACAUCUAAGUACCCCGAGGAAAAGAAAUCAACCGAGAUUCCCCCAGUAGCGGCGAGCGAACGGGGAGGAGCCCAGAGCCUGAAUCAGUGUGUGUGUUAGUGGAAGCGUUUGGAAAGGCGCGCGAUACAGGGUGACAGCCCCGUACACAAAAAUGCACAUGCUGUGAGCUCGAUGAG